ACAGAAGCAAGAAAGGGGCGACCCCCAUUUUCCAAAACCCUAAAGUUCACAAUUUCUUGCAAUUGGAGGUUCAAAUCCUAACCAAAACGAAAUCCGAGCUUAGAAUUGUGAUCCUCAUCGCAAGAGGAUUAAGAGGCAAAGAGUCCGGUUCAUCUAGCGGACAAGCCGGAGGGAGUUCACGAGGAAAAGACGCACUCUAAAAGUUUUCAGGUACUCAAGUGAAGGAUGAUGAUCAAGA